rnacentral:rRNA from 1 species
GACGAACGCUGGCGGCGUGCUUAACACAUGCAAGUCGAACGAAUUGGCGAACGGGUGAGUAACACGUGGGCAACCUGCCCUCAUCUUGGGGAUAGCUUCGGGAAACCGGGAUAAUACCCGUUAGCGAAGGAUGGCCUGCGGCCGGUGGGCUUGUUGGGGGGGUAGAGGCCUACCAAGGAAAUGAUGGGUAGCUGGGUUGAGAGACCGACCAGCCAGAUUGGGACUGAGACACGGCCCAGACUCCGACGGGAGGCAGCAGUGGGGAAUCUUGCACAAUGGGCGAACGCCUGAUGCAGAGACGCCGCGUGCGGGACGAAGGCCCUCGGGUUGUAAACCGCUUUCAGCAGGGACGCGGUACCUGCAGAAGAAGCCCCGGCUAACUACGUGCCAGCAGCCGCGGUAAUAC